CCUACGGGAGGCAGCAGUGGGGAAUAUUGCACAAUGGGCGCAAGCCUGAUCCAGCAAUGCCGCGUGUGUGAAGAAGGUCUUCGGAUUGUAAAGCACUUUCGACGGGGACGAUGAUGACGGUACCCGUAGAAGAAGCCCCGGCUAACUUCGUGCCAGCAGCCGCGGUAAUACGAAGGGGGCUAGCGUUGCUCGGAAUGACUGGGCGUAAAGGGCGCGUAGGCGGUUUAUGCAGUCAGAUGUGAAAUCCCCGGGCUUAACCUGGGAGCUGCAUUUGAGACGCAUAGACUAGAGGUCGAGAGAGGGUUGUGGAAUUCCCAGUGUAGAGGUGAAAUUCGUAGAUAUUGGGAAGAACACCGGUGGCGAAGGCGGCAACCUGGCUCGCUACUGACGCUGAGGCGCGAAAGCGUGGGGAGCGAACAGGAUUAGAUACCCCGGUAGUC
rnacentral:rRNA from 1 species